rnacentral:rRNA from 1 species
AUCAGCAGCCAUAUCACCCUGCAGCCCAAGACUAAGCUAAGCAGGGUUGAGCCUGGUCAGUACCUGAAUGGGAGACCUCCUGGGAAAACUAGGUUGCUGCUGGAA